rnacentral:rRNA from 1 species
GACGAACGCUGGCGGCGUGCUUAACACAUGCAAGUCGAACGAUGAAGCCGGAGCUUGCUCUGGUGAAUUAGUGGUGAACGGGUGAGUAACACGUGAGUAACCUGCCCUUGACUCUGGGAUAACUGCUAGAAAUGGUAGCUAAUACCGGAUACGACCCUCGGAGGCAUCUCCAGGGGGUGGAAAGAAUUUCGGUCAAGGAUGGACUCGCGGCCUAUCAGCUAGUUGGUGAGGUAAUGGCUCACCAAGGCGACGACGGGUAGCCGGCCUGAGAGGGUGACCGGCCACACUGGGACUGAGACACUGCCCAGACUGCUACGGGAGGCAGCAGUCGGGAAUAUUGCACAAUGGGCGCAAGCCUGAUGCAGCAACGCCGCGGGAGGGAUGACGGCCUUCGGGUUGUAAACCUCUUUUAGUAGGGAAGAAGCGAAAGUGACGGUACCUGCAGAAAAAGCACCGGCUAACUACGUGCCAGCCGCCGCCGUAA